rnacentral:rRNA from 1 species
GAUGAACGCUGGCGGUAUGCUUAACACAUGCAAGUCGAACGGACUCUUCGGAGUUAGUGGCGGACGGGUGAGUAACGCGUGAGAAUCUGGCUUUGGGUUCGGGACAACCACUGGAAACGGUGGCUAAUACCGGAUGUGCCGAGAGGUAAAAGAGAAAUUGCCUGAAGAUGAGCUCGCGUCUGAUUAGCUAGUUGGUGAGGUAAAGGCGCACCAAGGCAGCGAUCAGUAGCUGGUCUGAGAGGAUGACCAGCCACACUGGGACUGAGACACGGCCCAGACUCCUACGGGAGGAAGCAGUGGGGAAUUUUCCGCAAUGGGCGAACGCCUGACGAAGCAAUACCGCGUGAGGGAAGAAGGCUCUUGGGUUGUAAACCUCUUUUCUUAGGGAAGAACAAAAUGACGGUACCUAAAGAAUCAGCAUCGGCUAACUCCGUG